rnacentral:rRNA from 1 species
AGCAGCCGCGGUAAUUCCAGCUCCAAUAGCGUAUAUUAAAGUUGUUGCAGUUAAAAGCUCGUAGUUGAAUUUCGGGGUUAGUAGGUUGGUCAUGCCUCUGGUAUGUACUGGUCUCACUGAUUCCUCCUUCCUGAUGAGCCGUAAUGCCAUUAAUUUGGUGUUGCGGGGAAUUUGGACUGUUACUUUGAAAAAUUAGAGUGUUUAAAGCAAGCUAACGCUUGAAUACAUUAGCAUGGAAUAAUGAAAUAGGACGUUCGAUCCUAUUUUGUGGUUCUAGGAUUGACGUAAUGAUUAAUAGGGAUAGUUGGGGCAUUAGUAUUCAAUUGUCAGAGGUUGAAAUUCUUGGGAUUUAUUGAAGACUAACUACUGCGAAAGCAUUUUGCCAAGGGAUGUUUUCAUUAAUCAAGAACGAAAGUUUAGGGGGAUCGAAGACGAUCAGAUACCGUCGUAGUCUUAAACCAUAAAACUAUGCCCGACUAGGGAUCGGAUGAUGUAAUUUUAAUGACUC